AACGAACGCUGGCGGCAUGCCUAACACAUGCAAGUCGAACGAGACCUUCGGGUCUAGUUGCGCACGGGUGCGUAACGCGUGGGAACCUGCCCUUAGGUUCGGAAUAACUCCCCGAAAGGGGUGCUAAUACCGGAUAAUUUCUUCGGACCAAAGAUUUAUCGCCUUUGGAUGGGCCCGCGUUGGAUUAGCUAGUUGGUAGGGUAAAAGCCUACCACGGCGACGAUCCAUAGCUGGUCUGAGAGGAUGAUCAGCCACACUGGGACUGAGACACGGCCCAGACUCCUACGGGAGGCAGAAGUGGGGAAUAUUGGAAAAUGGGCGAAAGCAUGAUCCAGCAAUGGCGCGUGAGUGAUGAAGGCCUGAGGGUUGUAAAGCACUUUUACCCGGGAUGAUAAUGACAGUACCGGGAGAAUAAGCACCGGCUAACUCCGUG
rnacentral:rRNA from 1 species